rnacentral:tRNA from 1 species
UACCUUGUGGCUCAGCUGGUAAAGAAUCCGCCUACAAAGCGGGAGACCUAGGUUCAACCCCUGGCUUGGGAA